UGUCAGUGUCUUUCCCUUUCUCGAAUACUCAAUUCACUCAUCCCGAAUAGGGUUUAGGUGCCCACCAAUAUCUUUAAAAACCUUAGGGUAAUUGAUUAUUGCUUUUUUCAUGAAUUUAAUGAUUAGGCACAACACUAUGGCAGAAGGGUCUAGUUAAGGCGGUCUUUUAUAGGCUUUACACGCAGAAAAGCGUUUGACAGUUUUGGCUGGCCCUUUCUGAAACAGGUCCUGGAU